GACGUAGGGUGCGAGCGUUGUCCGGAUUUAUUGGGCGUAAAGAGCUCGUAGGCGGCUCGUCGCGUCGACCGUGAAAACCCGCGGCUUAACUGCGGGCUUGCGGUUGAUACGGGCGGGCUAGAGUUCGGUAGGGGAGACUGGAAUUCCUGGUGUAGCGAUGAAAUGCGCAGAUAUCAGGAGGAACACCGGUGGCGAAGGCGGGUCUCUGGGCCGAUACUGACGCUGAGGAGCGAAAGCGUGGGGAGCGAACAGG
rnacentral:rRNA from 1 species